rnacentral:misc_RNA from 1 species
AACUUUUGACAACGGAUCUGAAGGUUGCGCCUCAUUAGACGCAAUCAUCAAAUCAAUGUCGAGCGGUGCGCUCACGUUUGGCACGAGUUCCUGUGGCGCAGGCGGUUCCGAAACCGGGGUUUCGGCGGCCGCCUCCGGAUGCGCGACGCUCGUCUCAUGUGAAGUAAAUGGAUACGGCUCCAUCGACGCCGGCUUUUCGAACAAUUCCAAACCUGCUUCCUGGCGAUCGCCCGGCUUGGCUGCGCCGAAAUACUUGCGCGCCACCGCGGAAUAAUCCUCGUCACCGAAGCCGCGUUGCAUUUGUUCGAGUAAACGAUCGCGGGUCGCCGCCGUCACGGCCAAUUCGAGAUGCUGGGACAAGCCGUAUCGAGCCGCGAUCUGCAUGUCCUUAAGCAUAUCAAUAAGCGGAGGCU